GCCUCCCACCCGACCCAACCCAAUCAAACCCUAGCCGCCCUAAUCUUCUUCUUCGUCUUCUCCUCUCCAUCUCCAUGGAACACAGCCAAGCAAUGGAUGGAUGGAUCCUUUCUUCAUCACAAGAAGGCAAAAGCAGGAGGCCUCUUUCCCCUCCCUCCCUGCCUCUCUCCCAAUCCAACCCAACCCUAGCCGCCCCAAUCUUCCUCCUCCUCUUCUUCUUCUUCUUAUUCUCUCCUUGAUUGAUGAUUGAAACACAGCCAAGCAAUGGAUGGAUCCUUCCUUCAUCACAACAAGGCACAAGCAGGAUUCAUGGAUGGAUGGCGGCCUCUCUUGUCUUCAAGACAACAAGGCAGAAGCAGGAUUCAUGGAUGGAUGGAUGGCCACCAUGACACGCUAGAUCCGGCCACCUCCUCCCUGGAUCUACAAUUUUUUUUCUUCUUUCGGAGCAAAAGUCGCCCUUGGAUCUGCAAGUUCUUUUUUUUAGCAAAGUCCGUCCAUGGUGUGCUACUCUCCCUCACCACUGCCCGUCGGUGGCAUGAAACCGGCCGAUUUCUGGAUCUGAGGUUCGGAUCCCAAGCAGAGCACAAUCGUUCGUCGUCUUGGCUUUCCUGACGCACGUCCAGCGCCAGGCGGGACCUCCGUUGGGCAUUUCCUUGCGAACGUUCGCUUCACAAGCUAGUCGCCCGAUCCAUCGGCCCAGCACCACUGGGCCCCUGCUGCGUGGCCUGGGCUUCCGGCGAGCGGAAUGAGCCUGUGGGCAAGCGGCUUAACGGGCCUCCGCCCAGCACAGCACAAUCUGGACGGCCCGCCUAGGGCGCCAAAACCCUAGGCGAGCGGGCUAUAAAACCCAGGGCGAGGGCCACGCGGGCGCCACGCUCCCCCGCCGCCGCCGCCGCCUCGAUCUAUCGCCGCCGACGCCAAGGUGUCCCAUCAUCAAUGGCGAUCGGAGGAGAGGCUGGGGAUUCGUCUGGAGUGGACCGCACCGACACCUAUGGAUCCGGCCAAGGCGAGCAGGUGUUACCACCACCCUCUGGCAAGCUGGCUCGCUUGCUGAUGGGGCUCCUGCCUCAGCUCCUUCAGGGAUCUCCAGGGUACCCAUCUUUCUACUGAUGAAUGCAUGUUUGUGAUGUUAAUGUUUUUAAUAAUGCAGCUGAUGUACCUUUUUAUGUGCAUGCUGUUACAUUUGUGCUGUUUCGUGGUCAUUUACAAGGCUUGAUUACCUUCCCAAUCUGAAUUAGUUGCUUGACAAUUGUCCAUGCUCUUCACAUGAUACCCUUCUGAAUCUUAAAUGCAUGCUGUGAGCUCCUAAUCUUUUAUAAUCAUAGCCAGUGCCCUUUGCAUUCAUCUCCUACAAAUUGCUUUUUAUGCAACAUGUUAGAUGUCAUCUUUCUCUGUGAUGCAUGCUGUGUCAUUUCUCUAUUCAAUGCAGUAAUAUGACAUUAUUAUCUUCCCAAUGUGAAAUACACGCUCAUAUGUGUGGCUAUUGUUCAUGUUCAA